rnacentral:rRNA from 1 species
AGAGUUUGAUCAUGGCUCAGGACGAACGCUGGCGGCGUGCUUAACACAUGCAAGUCGAACGGAAAGGCCCUUCGGGGUACUCGAGUGGCGAACGGGUGAGUAACACGUGGGUGAUCUGCCCUGCACUUUGGGAUAAGCCUGGGAAACUGGGUCUAAUACCGAAUAUGACCAUGCACUUCCUGGUGUGUGGUGGAAAGCUUUUGCGGUGUGGGAUGGGCCCGCGGCCUAUCAGCUUGUUGGUGGGGUAAUGGCCUACCAAGGCGACGACGGGUAGCCGGCCUGAGAGGGUGACCGGCCACACUGGGACUGAGAUACGGCCCAGACUCCUACGGGAGGCAGCAGUGGGGAAUAUUGCACAAUGGGCGCAAGCCUGAUGCAGCGACGCCGCGUGAGGGAUGACGGCCUUCGGGUUGUAAACCUCUUUCAGCACAGACGAAGCGCAAGUGACGGUAUGUGCAGAAGAAGGACCGGCCAACUACGUGCCAGCAGCCGCGGUAAUACGUAGGGUCCGAGCGUUGUCCGGAAUUACUGGGCGUAAAGAGCUCGUAGGUGGUUUGUCGCGUUGUUCGUGAAAACUCACAGCUUAACUGUGGGCGUGCGGGCGAUACGGGCAGACUUGAGUACUGCAGGGGAGACUGGAAUUCCUGGCGUAGCGGUGGAAUGCGCAGACAUCAGGAGGAACACCGGUGGCGAAGGCGGGUCUCUGGGCAGUAACUGACGCUGAGGAGCGAAAGCGUGGGGAGCGAACAGGAUUAGAUACCCCGGUAGUCC